UGGGCGUCCCAUUCUCCAUCCGAGGCCUUCUAGUCCCGGUGUCACUGUCGCAGCACCUGGCGUUCGUUAGCUCUUUCACCAGCGGCGCGGAGCGGGCGGUUUUGCUGUCACGGCACAUGUGGCACGGAGUUUCUCGGUGGCCGAAACCCUCUUUUUUCUCAGAGUCCAGUUUCUUGGUGACAGCGCUGUUGGUUGCGCCAUAAGGAAUGUUGUCCUUGACAACCCGCCGGCCGCAGUCAUUCGCAAGCUCCAGGCACCGACAUUUCGCAGAACUGAGGUCUCUCGGUCUCAGCACAGCUCGUUGCUCGAUGCCUCCAUUUUCUCGGGGCGACAGCACUCAGGUCGCCGAUCUGAGGGAUUCGGAGCUUCCCCAGCUGGGGUGAGCCUGGCGUUCCCGGGCGGCGGCGGCGGCGCUGGGCUAGGGGAGCCCGCCGCUCCUCCAAGCCGGUGACAGGGGAGCUGCCCGGGCGCCGUCUCUUCCCAGCGCCGCCGCAGAACCCGCAGAACAGCUCGACCUCCAGAACCCUGUGCUGUGGCGGCGGGGCUGGCGUGUCUGUCGCAGGACCCCGCAGAUUCGUCUGUCGUUGGCUUGUUGGUCCUAACAAGUUUCGAUUUCAGGGUGCCUGCGUUUCUUUUUCUUUUCUCUUCUUUUCCUUUUGUUUUGUUUUGAGACAGAGUCUCGCCGUGUCGCCCAGCCUGGAGUGCAGUGGCGCGAUCUUGGCUCACUGCAACCUCCGCACCCCAGGUUCAAGGGAUUCUACUGCCUCAGCCUCCUGAGUAGCUGGGAUUACAGGCGCUCGCCACCACGCCCGGAUAAUUUUUGUAUUUUUACUAGAGGCGGUGUUUCAUCAUAUUGACCAGGCUGGUCUCGAACUCCUAACCUCAAUAAUCUGCCCGCCUCGGCCUCCCAAACUGCCAGGAUUACAGCAUGAGCCGCUGCGCCCAGCCGGUGACUACGAUUUCUAUCCCCUGGUUCAAGUCGGGGAAUAGCCAAAAUGUGAUUUCUCAACCCAAGCAAGUACCCACUUAGGACAAACACCAGCCUAGCCCUGGCGGCGAUUUCUAGGUCGUAGGAAGUCGAUGUUUCGCCACAGAAAGGCUGAGUGACCCUGUGACUCAUUUCCCAGCAACUCCGGGUUUCCUGUAGCCUAAUCAUAACAAACGCAGAGUUAGCCCUGCC
rnacentral:lncRNA from 1 species